GGGUCUCUCCUGCAAGGGCUGCCUCGCUGUCCCCUCCUGGGAUCUGGAUUUGCUAGAGCUUCUCAUUCAGACAGGCAGAACUUGGCAGAAGACCAAAAGGUUCCUUCCGAUCUCUCAGAGGCUUCCUGAGAGCACAGAUGGAUGAGCGAGACUCAGCUGGCCCUGAAGCAGGAAGAGGCCAUGCCAUCCAAACUGGGAGCAGUGGGGGAUUCUGGGAAAACUCUGUGCAGAAGAUCCUGGGUGAGGAGGACACCCUCCGCUCAGAGGUGCAGAGCCAGCAGGUGAGGCAGUUCUGCUGCCAGGAGGCCAAAGGACCCCGAGAGGUUUGCAGCCGACUCUACCACUUUUGCCACCAGUGGCUGAAGCCAGAAAGGCACACGAAAGCUGAGAUGCUGGACCUGGUGAUCUUGGAGCAGUUCCUGGCUGUCCUUCCACCGGAGAUGGAGAGCUGGGUGAGGGACUGUGGAGCGGAGACAAGUUCCCAGGCGGUGGCCCUGGCCGAAGGUUUCCUCCUGAGUCAGGCAGAGGACAGAAAGCAGGGAAAGGAUCAUUUUGUAGAAAUGGACCUGGAUUCCUGUGAGGCAGAGAGGCCUCCGUUGGACACCAGAGAGAGGCCACUGGGAGACAGAAUGAUGCCGGCAAAACCUCCUGGUCCAUCUUUUCAUGGGAGCAGAAGGGAAGCAGCAGCUGUGGAACCAGAUCAGGGUCCAGUGUGCUUUGAAGAUGUCGCUGUUCGUUUCACGGACGAGGAGUGGGCGUUGCUGGAUCCUGACCAGAGAGCUCUGCAUAAGGAUGUCAUGGAGGAGAAUCGUGGGAUCGUGGCCUCUCUUGAUUGUGAUGAAUUGGAAAUUGAGAGCAAAGGUGACAACGAAAAAUUCCCCAGAGAGGAGAAGCCACACAAAAAUUUGGAGUGUGGAGAAAGCUGCAGUCAGAGCUCCCAUUCCACUUCCCAUCAACAAAAUCUCAUUGAAAAGAAACUCUAUCAGUGCAUGGAAUGUGGAAAGAGCUUCACUCGUAGCUCCUCUCUCACUUAUCAUCAAAGAAUUCAUACAGGGGAGAAACCCUAUCAGUGCGUGGAAUGCGGAAAGAGCUUCACUCGUAGCUCCUCUCUCACUUAUCAUCAAAAAAUUCAUAAAGGGGAGAAACCCUAUCAGUGUGUGGAAUGUGGAAAGAGCUUCAGUCAGAGCUCCAAGCUCACUUCCCAUCAAAGAAUUCAUACAGGAGAGAAACCCUAUCAGUGUGUGGAAUGUGGAAAGAGCUUCACUUAUAGCUCCCAUCUCACUAAGCAUCAAAGAAUUCAUACAAGGGAGAAACCCUAUCAGUGUGUGGAAUGUGGAAAGAGCUUCAGUCAGAGCUUCGAUCUCACUAAGCAUCAAAGAAUUCAUACAAGGGAGAAACCCUAUCAGUGUGUGGAAUGUGGAAAGAGCUUCACUGAUAACUCCAAUCUCACUUCCCAUCAAAGAAUUCACACAGGGGAAAAACCCUAUCAGUGCGUAGAAUGUGGAAAGAGCUUCAUUCAGAGCUCCACUCUCACCUCCCAUCAAAGAAUUCAUACAGGGGAGAAACCCUAUCAGUGUGUGGAAUGUGGAAAGAGCUUCACAUGUAGCUCCUCUCUCACUUCCCAUCAAAGAAUUCAUACAGGGGAGAAACCCUAUCAGUGUGUGGAAUGUGGAAAGAGUUUCAGGAAGAGGUCCGAUCUCACUUCCCAUCAAAGAAUUCAUACAGGGGAGAAACCCUAUCAGUGUGUGGAAUGUGGAAAGAGCUUCAGUCAGAGCUCCAAGCUCACUUUCCAUCAAAGAAUUCAUACAGGAGAGAAACCCUAUCAGUGUGUGGAAUGUGGAAAGAGCUUCAGUCAGAGCUCCAAGCUCACUUUCCAUCAAAGAAUUCAUACAGGAGAGAAACCCUAUCAGUGUGUGGAAUGUGGAAAGAGCUUCACUUAUAGCUCCCAUCUCACUAAGCAUCAAAGAAUUCAUACAAGGGAGAAACCCUAUCAGUGUGUGGAAUGUGGAAAGAGCUUCAGUCAGAGCUUCGAUCUCACUAAGCAUCAAAGAAUUCAUACAAGGGAGAAACCCUAUCAGUGUGUGGAAUGUGGAAAGAGCUUCACUGAUAACUCCAAUCUCAAUUCCCAUCAAAGAAUUCACACAGGGGAAAAACCCUAUCAGUGCGUAGAAUGUGGAAAGAGCUUCAGAAAUAGCUACUCUCUCACUUACCAUAAAAGAAUUCAUACAGGGGAGAGACCCUAUCAGUGCAUGGAAUGUGGAAAGAGCUUCACUUAUAGCUCCCAUCUCACUUCCCAUCAAAGAAUUCAUACAGGGGAGAAACCCUAUCAGUGUGUGGAAUGUGGAAAGAGCUUCACAUGUAGCUCCUCUCUCACUUCCCAUGAAAGAAUUCAUUCAGGGGAGAAACCCUAUCAGUGUGUGGAAUGUGGAAAGAGCUUCACAUGUAGCUCCUCUCUCACUUCCCAUCAAAGAAUUCAUUCAGGGGAGAAACCCUAUCAGUGUGCAGAAUGUGGGAAGAGCUUCACAUGUAGCUUCUCUCUCACUUCCCAUCAAAGAAUUCAUACAGGGGAGAAACCCUAUCAGUGUGUGGAAUGUGGAAAGAGCUUCACAUGUAGCUUCUCUCUCACUUCCCAUCAAAGAAUUCAUACAGGGGAGAAACCCUAUCAGUGUGUGGAAUGUGGAAAAAGCUUCACUGUUAGCUCUAAACUCACUUCCCACCAAAGAAUCCAUACAAAGGUCGGAAAAACCAUUUUAUAGCUUUAGGAGCCAGGCAAAUCCGCACCUUUUUAACCAGGCCUUUUUCUUAUUGACAUCUAAUGCUAUUUUAACAUGUGAUGUUUUAUGUUUUUAUGUUGUGUUUUUAUGCUCUAAGCAUUCUGAGACGUGGGUGUAGGGAAUACAGCCACUCUUAAAUUCCUUGGGGUCUUUGCCCCCCCAUAAAAUAUUUGAGGAGGCCACCCCCCAGAAGAUACAAACAUGGACAGGUCCCAUCUUUGCGGGCCAAACGCAAAAGUUGCUUUAAAGGAGGCUUUCCCAAACUUGGGUCCCCAGCAGCUCCCGGACUACAGUUCCCAUCGUCUCUCCCCAUUGGUCCUGCUAACUAGAGAUGAUGGGAGUUGUAGUCCAAAAACAGCUGGAGACCCAAAUUUGCUUUAAAGGGAAAGUAGGCUGGCCCUGUGACACCCUCUGCUGGCCAAAAACACUGCCCCAGAAUCUGAACCACCCCCAGUACUCCUAACUGGAAUUUAUAGAGCGCAAAACUGAAGUUUGAUCAGCACUUCAACCUCUAGGGAGCUUCUAGGUGCUUUCUGCGCCACCUAGAGUACCCACAGAAUUGUGGCUUCUACUGACAACACACAUAGGAGAACAAAUGAAAGACAAACACAAUGAGCAGGAAAAAACCUGGAAAGGGCCAUACCAAAUGGACAUCCGGUGUGAAGAGGUCACUUUCCCCACUGCUGAACAAUGCCACAGGUAGAGGAGAUGAAAUGCUAAAAGUGUUCUCUGGGGCAAGGGCAGCUGCUGAGAAAUUGAACUAUGGGCGCAAAAUAUUACUUUUUUAAAAAGUCGCUGCCAUUAUAGACAUUGCCAUUCAAAUGGUGUGCAUGCAUCCUGUGAUUGAUAGUGCAAGGCGGGACUUACCUGGCCCCCACCAAUAUUUUAUUCAAGUCGGCACCACUGGGUCGGGUGGUUUACAGAUUAAAUAAAUACAUAAUUCGCCUCCCUUUGCAAAUA